UGAAAUGACAGGUUGUGCGGGCAAUCUUCGGAUUGGCCGUUGUCCUUGGCGGUCUGCUACCCCGUGCAAUCUGUCUCCACC
rnacentral:antisense_RNA from 1 species